UUACCGAAUGCAAUUGAGGGCAAGUCUGGUGCCAGCAGCCGCGGUAAUUCCAGCUCCAAUAGCGUAUAUUAAAGUUGUUGCAGUUAAAAAGCUCGUAGUUGAAGUUCUGAUUGCUCAGGUUUCCAGCCUUAGGCGGAGAUACUGACAGUCAUCCGCUUGCAAACAUAUGUUCGAUCUUCACCGGUUGGCUAUGUGAGUAAGCACUUUACCUUGAGAAAAACAGAGUGUUCCAGGCAGGUUUGUCCGGGAUGCAUUAGCAUGGAAUAAUAGAACAUGACUGAAGUCGAUUUUAUUGGUUUAAGGCUUUAGUAAUGAUUAAUAGGAACAGUCGGGGGCAUUCGUACUCAGCAGUCAGAGGUGAAAUUCUAAGAUUUGCUGAAGACGAACUAAUGCGAAAAGCAUUUGCCAAGGAUGUUUUCAUUAAUCAAGAACGAAAGUUAGGG
rnacentral:rRNA from 1 species